rnacentral:misc_RNA from 1 species
UGUAUUUGCCACUUAUUAAUAAUAAACUAUUAUCUGAAACAAAAUGCCCUAAAUUCUCAUUAUCAAUUUCAAUCGAUGGAUUAACUUCUUCUAGCAGUGUAAUUGAAAUGAUAAAUAAUUUUCAAGAAGAAUGUAAGCAAAGGUGUGGUAGAUUAUUUAUAGUGUCACAACUGUCAGAACACAUGAAUCAUCAAAAUAUUUGUAAGAUUCCAAUACCAAUUUCUUCAACCUUGACAACAUCAUCAUCGCAUAUAAGUCUAUCAGAUAUAUUUGCAUUAAGUUCAACAAGUGUUAUCACAAGGGAUAUUGAUGCUGUUGCACUUCAUAUUAUUAAACAAAAAAUGUUGCAAACAACGUCCAAUGUAACAGAAUUUCAGACUGAUGGACCAGGCCUUUGUGCUUCAUAUCAACACAAAAAGCAUAUAAAGAAAGUAAAGAUGUAACUUUACAGACAGUUUGUAAACGACAAUCACAGUUAAACGAUUACAUAAACACAACGUGUGGUGAAAGCACAAGGUCUAAAAUCAAGCAAACCUUUACUCUUUUAAAAUCAUUUAAUGAAAAUGAACAAGAAACUAUUUUAAGUAAUUCAAAUGUUUCAAAAACCAAAAUAUCUGCUGAAGAAAUUAUAAUUUUAAAAGCUAACAUGAACAAUAUUUAUACCAACAUGAAAAUACUAUCCAGGUGGUUGAAGACCAAGAACGUCAUUUGUGCUUCAAACGCACAACAAAGAUGUGUGGCUAAGAAGUGUUCAUGCGAUGAUCUUGUUAUUGAAAAAGCUCCAUUUAUGGUUGAAAAAAAGGAGUCAAAAGGUUCUUUUGAAAUAAAAAAAUUGCCAUGCGCUUAUAUCAACAAUCUGCAAGGAUAUAUAAUAAAUGUGCUAGAUAGUUUAGACAGAUAAAAACAAAUCUUAUUUAUAAAAAUACUUAUAGUAUAUAUUUCUUAAAAAACUUCUGACAUGGAAGGUUUACAUAUAAUACUAAAAAAUAUAAUAAUAUACUAUCCAUGUUAAACAAACUAAAUUUAUUUGGCACACAUUCAAUAUUAUAGAAAAAAAAUCAGUUCUGAAAUUUAAUUUUACUUCUAUAGUACAUUUUAGAAACAACUUACUGUUGAACAAUAAGAUUAAAGGCAAUGAAAUACAUAUAAAAAUAGGAGGGUAUCAUGGAGGUGGCUCGUUCAAAAUGUGUUAUCAAUUAGUGAACGUAGUCAAGCCAAUUUCAAAAACAAACACAACUGUCUUUAAAAUAUUUGAAGCAAGAGAUUGUAGAACAAAUCUGAAGUUUUCACUGUCAAGAUUUAAAUCAGAAAUUGAUUUGUUGCAAAGCACCAUUUGGAGGUAGACAUGCAUGCCAGUUAUGCAACAUCACAAGACAAGGAAUGUCAACUCAUAUUAAGAACAACAUUGAAAUGCGAUCACUUGAGACACUAGAUUCACAAUUAGAAAAAUUUAAAAAUCAUGGUUCAGAUUUUUUGUUUGCCAAGUUAUGUGAUAAUAAUAUUGAUCAAAGGUUAUUUAAUGUGCCACUUGAUCAAGUACUUUGCUUUAAAUAAUUAUUUUCAGACUAACAUGCAUAACUUUUAAUUUAAUUACAGCCAUUGUUAAAUUGAUUG